GGAUUGAGAGCUUGCUCUCAAGAAGUUAGCGGCGGACGGGUGAGUAACACGUGGGUAACCUGCCCAUAAGACUGGGAUAACUCCGGGAAACCGGGGCUAAUACCGGAUAACAUUUUGAACNGCAUGGUUCGAAAUUGAAAGGCGGCUUCGGCUGUCACUUAUGGAUGGACCCGCGUCGCAUUAGCUAGUUGGUGAGGUAACGGCUCACCAAGGCAACGAUGCGUAGCCGACCUGAGAGGGUGAUCGGCCACACUGGGACUGAGACACGGCCCAGACUCCUACGGGAGGCAGCAGUAGGGAAUCUUCCGCAAUGGACGAAAGUCUGACGGAGCAACGCCGCGUGAGUGAUGAAGGCUUUCGGGUCGUAAAACUCUGUUGUUAGGGAAGAACAAGUGCUAGUUGAAUAAGCUGGCACCUUGACGGUACCUAACCAGAAAGCCACGGCUAACUACGUGCCAGCAGCCGCGGUAAUACGUAGGUGGCAAGCGUUAUCCGGAAUUAUUGGGCGUAAAGCGCGCGCAGGUGGUUUCUUAAGUCUGAUGUGAAAGCCCACGGCUCAACCGUGGAGGGUCAUUGGAAACUGGGAGACUUGAGUGCAGAAGAGGAAAGUGGAAUUCCAUGUGUAGCGGUGAAAUGCGUAGAGAUAUGGAGGAACACCAGUGGCGA
rnacentral:rRNA from 1 species